GUUUCCAUCCCCUUCGAACUGUGCAACUUAUAAACAAGAUUGCAAAUUUAAUUUAAAGACCAAUCGGAGUUCCGUUGAACAAGAAGAACAAUAUUUAUCCAAGCCAUAUAUCUAUCGCUUCUGCUGUGUUGUGUUGUGCUGCUGCUGCAGUGCAACCGUUUGGCCCACCAGCGGGGCUGUGUGGUGUGGCAACUUUAUGGCUGAUUUGUAGCAUGCAGCAAGCAAUAAUUCAAUGCUCUAUGAAGGGCAAAGGGGCGGGAGCUGGGAGCCAGCAGCAGCAGC